ACACAUGCAAGUCGAGCGCGAACGCACCUUCGGGUGUUAUUAGAGCGGCAGACGGGUGCGUAACACGUGGGAAUCUACCUAGAACUAAGGAAUAGCCAUUGGAAACGAUGAUUAAUACCUUAUAAUCCCUCCGGGGGAAAGAUUUAUCGGUUUUAGAUGAGCCCGCGGUUGAUUAGUUUGUUGGUGAGGUAAUGGCUCACCAAGACUACGAUCAAUAGCUGGUCUGAGAGGAUGAUCAGCCACACUGGGACUGAGACACGGCCCAGACUCCUACGGGAGGCAGCAGUGGGGAAUAUUGCACAAUGGACGAAAGUCUGAUGCAGCCAUGCCGCGUGAGUGAUGACGGCCUUCGGGUUGUAAAGCUCUUUUAAUAGGGAAGAUAAUGACGGUACCUAUAGAAUAAGCCCCGGCUAACUUCGUGCCAGCAGCCGCGGUAAUACGAAGGGGGCUAGCGUUGUUCGGAAUUACUGGGCGUAAAGAGUACGUAGGCGGUUUGCCAAGCCAGAUGUGAAAUCCCGGAGCUCAACUCCGGAACUGCAUUUGGAACUGGCAGACUAGAGGAAGAUAGAGGCAAGUGGAAUUUCUUGUGUAGGGGUGAAAUCCGUAGAUAUAAGAAGGAAUAUCAAUAGCGAAGGCAGCUUGCUGGGUCUUUUCUGACGCUGAGGUACGAAAGCGUGGGUAGCAAACAGGAUUAGAUACCCUGGUAGUCCACGCCGUAAACGAUGGAUGCUAGACGUUGGCCCUAGAGGUCGGUGUCGUAGUUAACGCGUUAAGCAUCCCGCCUGGGGAGUACGGUCGCAAGAUUAAAACUUAAAGGAAUUGACGGGGACCCGCACAAGCGGUGGAGCAUGUGGUUUAAUUCGAGGCAACGCGAAGAACCUUACCAGGACUUGACAUCCUGAUCGCGGACUCUGUAAUGGAGUCCUUCAGUUCGGCUGGAUCACCUCCUUUCU
rnacentral:rRNA from 1 species